rnacentral:tRNA from 1 species
GCCUGGGUGGCUCAGUCGGUUAAGCAUCUGACUUCAGCUCAGGUCAUGAUCUCACGGUUCGUGAGUUCGAGCCCCGCGUCGGGCU